rnacentral:tRNA from 1 species
GCCGGCGUGAUGGAAUUGGCAGACGUGCUGGACUCAAAAUCCAGUGGUGGCAACACCGUAUCGGUUCGACCCCGAUCGCCGGCACCA